rnacentral:rRNA from 1 species
GAUGAACGCUGGCGGCGUGCCUAAUACAUGCAAGUCGAGCGAACGGACGAGAAGCUUGCUUCUCUGAUGUUAGCGGCGGACGGGUGAGUAACACGUGGAUAACCUACCUAUAAGACUGGGAUAACUUCGGGAAACCGGAGCUAAUACCGGAUGAUAUUUUGAACCGCAUGGUUCAAAGGUGAAAGACGGUCUUGCUGUCACUUAUAGAUGGAUCCGCGCUGCAUUAGCUAGUUGGUAAGGUAAUGGCUUACCAAGGCAACGAUGCAUAGCCGACCUGAGAGGGUGAUCGGCCACACUGGAACUGAGACACGGUCCAGACUCCUACGGGAGGCAGCAGUAGGGAAUCUUCCGCAAUGGGCGAAAGCCUGACGGAGCAACGCCGCGUGAGUGAUGAAGGUCUUCGGAUCGUAAAACUCUGUUAUUAGGGAAGAACAUAUGUGUAAGUAACUGUGCACAUCUUGACGGUACCUAAUCAGAAAGCCACGGCUAACUACGUG